rnacentral:rRNA from 1 species
GGAGGAAUAUUGGUCAAUGGGGCGAGAGCCUGAACCAGCCAAGUAGCGUGCAGGAAGACGGCCCUACGGGUUGUAAACUGCUUUUAUGAAGGAAUAAAGUCACCCACGUGUGGGUGUUUGCAUGUACUUUAUGAAUAAGGACCGGCUAAUUCCGUGCCAGCAGCCGCGGUAAUACGGAAGGUCCGGGCGUUAUCCGGAUUUAUUGGGUUUAAAGGGAGCGUAGGCCGGAGAUUAAGCGUGUUGUGAAAUGUAGGCGCUCAACGUCUGCACUGCAGCGCGAACUGGUUUCCUUGAGUACGCACAAAGUGGGCGGAAUUCGUGGUGUAGCGGUGAAAUGCUUAGAUAUCACGAAGAACUCCGAUUGCGAAGGCAGCUCACUGGAGCGCAACUGACGCUGAAGCUCGAAAGUGC